rnacentral:lncRNA from 1 species
CAUGGUGGCCCGUGCCUGUAAUCCCAGCUACGUGGGUGGCUGAGGCGGGAGAAUCACUUGAACCAGGGAGUCAGAGGUUGUAGUGAACCGAGAUUGCGUCACUGCACUCCAGCCUGGCAACAGAGCGAGCCUCCGUCUCAAAAAAAAAAAAAAAAAAAAGUCAGAAGGAACAUUGUGCUCUGUUGCCAAUCAUUGCCAGACUAAGUACUUGUGAAAAUAUUUGAUAAAUGGGGAGAGAAACAAUGUUACUAAAAUAGAAGAUUCCUAUUUUAUCUGGAUUAUUUAUUGCUUUGUUUAAACUAGUUUUCAAAGACAAUAUUUUUAAACUUAGGCACCUACUACUGGGCUGUUUAAUUCAUAGACAAAGUGUCUGUAACAUCUAAACUAUCAUAUGACUAGUUAUGUUUAUAACUGCAGUUGAUCCUUGAACAACAUGAGUUAGAAUUGCACAGGUCCACUUACGUUCAGGGGAUCUAUCAUACAGUAUUCAAGGAAUGCAAAACGAGCGUAUAUGAAAGCUCUACUUUUCAUAUGCAUCAGUUCCACUGGACCCACUGAAGGGCGGUCUUAUUCUGUCACACAGGCUGGAAUGAAGUGGCACAAUCAUGGCUCAUUGCAGCCUUGACUUCUCUGGCACAGGCGAGUAUUCCACCUCACCCUCUGGAGUAGCAGGGACUACCAUACCCAGUUAGGUUUUAUAUUUUUUGUAGAGACAUGGUUUUGUCAUGUUGCCCAGUCUGGGCUUGAAUUCCUGGGCUCAAGCUAUCUGCCCAUCUCGGCCUUUCAAAGUCCUGAAAUUAUAGGUGUGAGUCACCAUGCCCAGCCCAAAAUGUAUUUGAGGUAGGUUUGCUUUUUUUACAGCUCACAGCAAUAAGUUUUCUUUACAUGUAUCAUCAAGAACACGUGCCAAUUGUAUGAUUUUUAUAUGAUUUUUAUAAAAUAAUCGUUACAUCAAUUUUUUUUUUACUGGAGCAUGCUACACCUUAGGAGGAGUUGGAGAUAGGUUGGAACUAUAGGAGUUGGAGACAGUUGGGGAGAGAUAGGUUAAUUUUUGUACAAAUAUUAUGAAAAUAUUGCAACAAUAAUUUUUACAUAAAAUCAAAAUUUUCUACUUAUUAUCUACAGAUGUCGUAUGGGCACAUAUA